UACGUAGGGGGCAAGCGUUGUCCGGAUUUAUUGGGCGUAAAGAGCGUGUAGGCGGUUCGGUAGGUCCGUUGUGAAAACUCGAGGCUCAACCUCGAGACGCCGAUGGAAACCCUCGAACUAGAGUCCGGAAGAGGAGAAUGGAAUUCCUGGUGUAGCGGUGAAAUGCGCAGAUAUCAGGAAGAACACCCGUGGCUAAGGCGGUUCUCUAGUACGGUACUGACGCUGAGACGCGAAAGCGUGGGGGAGCGAACAGG
rnacentral:rRNA from 1 species